rnacentral:rRNA from 1 species
UGCGGCAGCUACACAUGCAGUCGAGCGGUAGCACAGAGAGCUUGCUCUCGGGUGACGAGCGGCGGACGGGUGAGUAAUGUCUGGGAAACUGCCUGAUGGAGGGGGAUAACUACUGGAAACGGUAGCUAAUACCGCAUAACGUCGCAAGACCAAAGUGGGGGACCUUCGGGCCUCAUGCCAUCAGAUGUGCCCAGAUGGGAUUAGCUGGUAGGUGGGGUAACGGCUCACCUAGGCGACGAUCCCUAGCUGGUCUGAGAGGAUGACCAGCCACACUGGAACUGAGACACGGUCCAGACUCCUACGGGAGGCAGCAGUGGGGAAUAUUGCACAAUGGGCGCAAGCCUGAUGCAGCCAUGCCGCGUGUGUGAAGAAGGCCUUCGGGUUGUAAAGCACUUUCAGCGGGGAGGAAGGCGGUGAGGUUAAUAACCUCAUCGAUUGACGUUACCCGCAGAAGAAGCACCGGCUAACUCCGUGCCAGCAGCCGCGGUAAUACGGAGGGUGCAAGCGUUAAUCGGAAUUACUGGGCGUAAAGCGCACGCAGGCGGUCUGUCAAGUCGGAUGUGAAAUCCCCGGGCUCAACCUGGGAACUGCAUUCGAAACUGGCAGGCUAGAGUCUUGUAGAGGGGGGUAGAAUUCCAAGUGUAGCGGUGAAAUGCGUAGAGAUCUGGAGGAAUACCGGUGGCGAAGGCGGCCCCCUGGACAAAGACUGACGCUCAGGUGCGAAAGCGUGGGGAGCAAACAGGAUUAGAUACCCUGGUAGUCCACGCUGUAAACGAUGUCGAUUUGGAGGUUGUGCCCUUGAGGCGUGGCUUCCGGAGCUAACGCGUUAAAUCGACCGCCUGGGGAGUACGGCCGCAAGGUUAAAACUCAAAUGAAUUGACGGGGGCCCGCACAAGCGGUGGAGCAUGUGGUUUAAUUCGAUGCAACGCGAAGAACCUUACCUGGUCUUGACAUCCACAGAACUUUCCAGAGAUGGAUUGGUGCCUUCGGGAACUGUGAGACAGGUGCUGCAUGGCUGUCGUCAGCUCGUGUUGUGAAAUGUUGGGUUAAGUCCCGCAACGAGCGCAACCCUUAUCCUUUGUUGCCAGCGGUUAGGCCGGGAACUCAAAGGAGACUGCCAGUGAUAAACUGGAGGAAGGUGGGGAUGACGUCAAGUCAUCAUGGCCCUUACGACCAGGGCUACACACGUGCUACAAUGGCAUAUACAAAGAGAAGCGACCUCGCGAGAGCAAGCGGACCUCAUAAAGUAUGUCGUAGUCCGGAUUGGAGUCUGCAACUCGACUCCAUGAAGUCGGAAUCGCUAGUAAUCGUAGAUCAGAAUGCUACGGUGAAUACGUUCCCGGGCCUUGUACACACCGCCCGUCACACCAUGGGAGUGGGUUGCAAAAGAAGUAGGUAGCUUAACCUUCGGGAGGGCGCUACCACU